rnacentral:rRNA from 1 species
AUGAAAUGUAACAACUAUUUUGUUUUUAGUGUUGGCAUUAAUGCAUUGUGUCAUUUUGCUUUUUUUACACAGAUCGUCCCAUGCAAUGUGAGGUUGGAAUUCAACAAGCUGACAAGAGACACUGUGACCUUUGAGGCUCCUGGGGGGCCCUACACUAUGGAGGUCGAGAAAGGACGCAAUAUGUCGCAGAUUGGAGAUGGAUGGGCCCGUUUCCUCGCCCGCAUGAGUGUUACUGGUGGUGAGUUGAUCAGCUUCUCCCUCAGAGCAGAAAGACCCAAGUUGGCUGUCAUUUAUAUCAACAAGGAGGAAGAUGAUGAAGAUGAUGAGGACCCACUUGAUGAAGAUGAUGAGGACCCACUUCAUGAAGCCAUCUAUGCUCAAAGAAUGAGGCUGAGCGAGGAGGAGGUGUGCAACCUAUGGGACAUAAUUCCGCCACGUGAUGACUUUGUCGGGGUGCCAUUCGUGACCCGCCUGACAAGUACCAUGGUCGAUCGGCAUGAUAUGGUAUGUUAUACUAACUAUAGUAAUUUGAUGAUAUAUAUAUGCUUUAUUGUUAUACUUACAAAUGCAAAUUAUCCGAUGAUAUGCUUAGUGAAUCCGAUGAUAUGCUUAGUGUAG